GUCAGAAGAUGGUGGCAGGCCAUGUUUAUGGGUUUCUGUAUGGAGUAGAUUGACACAACCUUGCUUGCAAAGCCACUUCACAGAGCAACCAUGUUGGUGUUGAGCUGGAGUCAAUAUAAAGGACAGACCAGGUUGGCAUCGAAGUGGCACAGAGGGCUCAUUCGCCAAUUAUACAUCACAAUGCCAACUAUUUCGGCAUCAUACUGAGUUGUGUCCUUUAAGUUGAGAUGGACUGAGUAAAUAAUUGCUUAUGAAAACAGAAAA